rnacentral:snRNA from 1 species
GGAGCCACCGGGCAGGGGAGGUCCCACGGUCACGAAGGCCGUUUUCCCGGGCGAGGCCCAUCCAUUGCGCUCGGAUGUGCUGACCCCUGCGACUUCCCCAAAUGCGGGAAGCUUGACUGCAUAGCUUGUGUGGGGGGAGUACCUG